rnacentral:misc_RNA from 1 species
AAUUCUCAACUUCAGAAGCUUUGUCUUUUUGAAGCUUGGAUGUGAAGGCUUGCUGGCGUUUUAAAUGUUCAGCUCCUUUGAAAUGCAUUAGUGGACCCAUUUGUGUUUAGCUUUAGUGUGAUAAUUAUCUACGCUAUAGUAUUGAAUGCAUGCUCAUUUAGAACUUCGAAGUGUUCCAUACAUUUUCGGUGUGGGGAGUUGCACAUUUGCUCUCUCUGUCUAUAUGAGUUUGGCUUGUCUGCUUCUAACCGUCUGCUUUGUGUGGACAACUUGAACC